rnacentral:tRNA from 1 species
CUAGGGUUAUUCUAUUUAAGAUUACGGCUUUGGGAGUUGUAGAAUUACCCCUUGGA